AUUGAACGCUGGCGGCAUGCUUUACACAUGCAAGUCGAACGGUAACAGGUUAAGCUGACGAGUGGCGAACGGGUGAGUAAUGCAUCGGAACGUGCCCGGUCGUGGGGGAUAACGCAGCGAAAGCUGCGCUAAUACCGCAUACGAUCUGAGGAUGAAAGCGGGGGACCGUAAGGCCUCGCGCGAUCGGAGCGGCCGAUGUCAGAUUAGGUAGUUGGUGGGGUAAAGGCCCACCAAGCCGACGAUCUGUAGCUGGUCUGAGAGGACGACCAGCCACACUGGGACUGAGACACGGCCCAGACUCCUACGGGAGGCAGCAGUGGGGAAUUUUGGACAAUGGGCGAAAGCCUGAUCCAGCAAUGCCGCGUGCAGGAAGAAGGCCUUCGGGUUGUAAACUGCUUUUGUACGGAGCGAAAAGGUCCUUUCUAAUACAAGGGGCUUAUGACGGUACCGUAAGAAUAAGCACCGGCUAACUACGUGCCAGCCGCCGCUGUAACAC
rnacentral:rRNA from 1 species